UGUUUUUUUUUUUUGGACUGUUUUUGUGGACUUUUUUUUUGGGACUAUUUUUUUUGUGGCAGUUUUUUGCGGACUUUUUGUUGGGACUAUUUGUGGGGAUAGUUUUUGCGGACUUUUUUAAAUUGUUAAUUUUAAUUUGUUUGUAGGAGCUCCAGAGGGGUCAGGCGGUACCUCAAGAUGAGAUCUUUAAGAUUACUCACACGAGGAAGGAGAAGAACGCCGAUGGUACAGACCAAUGGGUUGAGCCAAGGGCUGAGCAAACUUGGAAUGAAUUUCAACAACACUUUGGGGAGUUUCGAGCCACUCAGCCAAGUACCACGCAGAUGACCGACGAGUUAAUACAACAACAAUGGAUUGAGAAUGUUGCUCCCCCAACAAGGCACGGGACAGUUUAUGGGAUGCCUAAUCUAGUCUUUCGUCGAUACUCGUCGGCCCUUGAAGCCGUAGGUGUUACUGAUGAUGGGACAGUUGAUCCUAAGGAGUAUGAAGCCAUGAAGCAGCAAGUUAACCUGCUAACAAGAACACUUAAUUCCUCGGAGGCCAGGAUGUUGGGUAUGCAAGCCCAGAUUGAUAGCUUACUUAAUUCGCGGCAGUUUCCGAUUCCCCCGUGUCCUGGGGAUGCUCGUAGGUCACAGCCUCCUAGCCAACCCCGACCUUCCCAAGGUAGACGACGUUGGUCACAAGCUAACAUAAAUCAUGCUUUUGUCGACGAGUCUAGUGGGGAGGAUACGGAUCAUGUCUCUAACACCGAACAUUGACUUUUUUGAUUAAUGUGCUUUUGGAUUCUAAUUCUGCUAUGUUUAAAUGGAUAUGUAUAUGAAUGUAGUUUUAAUUUGAACUAGAAGUACUUUUAAUUUUAAGAUGUUUAAGUGUUUGAACGUAGUUUAUGAUGUUUAAGUGUUUGAAUGGACAAUGUUUAAGUGUUCAAACA